UACGUAGGUGGCAAGCGUUGUCCGGAUUUACUGGGCGUAAAGAGCGCGCAGGCGGUCGUUCAAGUCGCGUGUGAAAGCCCCCGGCUCAACUGGGGAGGGUCACGCGAUACUGAUCGACUCGAAGGCAGGAGAGGGUAGUGGAAUUCCCGGUGUAGUGGUGAAAUGCGUAGAUAUCGGGAGGAACACCGGUGGCGAAGGCGGUCUUCUGGACGGUGACUGACGCUGAGGCGCGAAAGCGUGGGGAGCAAACGGG
rnacentral:rRNA from 1 species